CAAGUUUUCAAACAUUACACCCGAACUAAACUACAAACAACCAACCAUCAAAACACAUUUACUAAAUAACACCUUAACAAAAGAAUCAAAUCCACUGGAGCUCAAAGUAGGCAUGCUUGAAACAAUCGAAAGCUAUCAAAAAACAGCUAUCCAUAUUUAUACAGACGGAUCGGCUUUCAAAGCUAGCAUCAAUGCUGGUCUUGGUGCCUUCCUGGUCUUCCCUAAAAAUAAACACUUUGAGAUAAGCGCACCCUGUGGUGAUUACUGCUCAAACUUCCAAGCCGAAAUUGAGGCAAUUACCAUAGCACUCCAGACAGUGGAAAACAAAUUAUAUGAAGGAGUGCAACCACCAUCAGAUAUUGUUGUCUUUACAGACUCCCAAUCUAGUCUGCAAGCACUUAACAGCAGCACCUCAAACAGCCCAAGAGAGUUGACAACACUCAUUGUGAUAAUCCACCAGAUGAUAUCAAAAUUAAAUAUCAAUAUUACACUACAGUGGAUCCCUGGACACAUUGGCAUCAUGGGAAAUGAAAAGGCAGAUAAGCUAUCAAAGGCAGGUUCAUCUAUGGAACAACCAGAUAGACCUGUUAACUACCUCACCCUAAGGUCAAUGUUAGUCAACAAUCACAAAGAGGAGUGGCUCAACCAAUGGGCAUCAGGAAACACAGGCAGAGCCAUGUACAGAGAAAUGACUACGCCUAACAAACUGGACAGUAUUAACUUCCUCCCCAGCAAAGAACAAUCUACAAUCUUCCAACUAAGAACAGGACACACACCACUAUUAAAUUACCACCUGAACAAAAUAAACUCCACACAACUACCCCUUUGCAGACAUUGCGCCCACCCCUUUGAAACCGUAAACCAUAUCCUCUUUGAAUGCCCCUCUCUAAUCCACCUUAGGCAGACCCUACUUCCACUACAGCCCAACAUAACCAACACCCUGUAUGGCAGUGCUGAACAACUGAAUAAAAUAGCACACUUUUUUUCCUUGGCACAGUCUACAAAAGAGCUCACAGCUCAGCAGCAAUAAAGCUGGCUAGAAGAAGAAGAAGAAGAACUUGAUAGGCUAUAAAUAUAAGUGUAAAAUAUUUUUUAAUGUGUAUAAGAUGCAUGUCCAGAUAAAGGUGCUACAACUGACCAACUUUAAAAAUAAUGAUAUGUGAAGAUAAACUAAAUCAUGAAUAGUGAUGUGCCUUUAAAACUGUUUCAUGGGAGUAAAACAUCCAGACACAACAGAAUGCAACAACAGAUGUAUCGGAAGCUCAAAAUCAGAAACUGAAAUCUGCCCAUGUGGAGUGUCACCAGAGAAUGCUGACCAUCUCCUCCAAAACUGCUCUCUUUACCAAGAGGCUGUACAUGACACUGGCCCAUAAACACCCUAAUAGAAAGAAAACUAUAUGGAGAGUUCCCUGAUUUGGAAACCACUGCGAAAAUAAUCUCAUAUACUGGUCCAGUCAUCUGAAUGCUCCAAUAAAAAAAUGAGAAGGAAGAAGAAAGAAGAUUGUAUGUACCAUUUUUGUUUGUUUGAGGAUGGGGAGAAAAGUGUUCUUAGAAUUCAAACACCAAAAGGAAGCAACAUGGCUAUCAAAAAGCAGAGACGAUACAAACCUCAUUAGAUGGAGAGUUUUAUUUUGUUGGUAAAGUCCUUGGUUUUGAGCCAGCAGAGAAACAUAGAAAGGGCCGUACACAUAUAUGUAAAAUACAUGCUAGAUCUAUGAGUGUAGAGAAAGAUAUUCGUUAUGAGCUGCUGGCUAGAUUAUGCCCAAACAGUACAGGAGCGGAAAUUCGUAGUGUUGGCACAGAAGCUGGAAUGUUUGCUAUCAGGGCUCUUAGGAAGAUGGCUACAGAGAAAUAUAAAGUCAUCAAAACCUACGCCAAAUCUAGUGCAACUCCUUGCUACAUGACUGACAAUGAAAUCAAUAGUAGCUUGAUAGAAAUGGCUACUAGAUAAUCAGUACAGAACUUGUGUUUACUCACUGAUCUGAUUUUAAACUUAAG